GGGGGUGUAGCUCAGUGGUAGAGCGCGUGCUUAGCAUGCACGAGGUCCUGGGUUCAAUCCCCAGCACCUCCA
rnacentral:tRNA from 3 species